GACGAACCGUCCAAACGUUAUUCGGAAUUACUGGGCUUAAAGGGUGCGUAGGCGGCGCGGAAAGUUGGGUGUGAAAUCCCUCGGCUCAACCGAGGAACUGCGCCCAAUACUACCGUGCUUGAGGGAGAUAGAGGUGAGCGGAACUUAGGGUGGAGCGGUGAAAUGCGUUGAUAUCCUAAGGAACACCGGUGGCGAAAGCGGCUCACUGGAUCUCUUCUGACGCUGAGGCACGAAAGCUAGGGUAGCGAACGGG
rnacentral:rRNA from 1 species